UCAGUGCUGCAAGUAUCACCAGAGAGGCUAUGAAAGAAUUUUUUUUUUAAUUUAUUGUAGAUGUAAACAGAAUUUUAAAAAGUAAAAAGUAUAAACAUCGCUGCACUGUGACUGGUGGGAAAAACUGACCGUUUCCUGUUUGCACAUGUUUAACAUUUGGCUGUUAUAAUAUAUGGUCCUCGGUUGGGGAAAGAUACUUAUGAUGAAGG
rnacentral:lncRNA from 1 species